AUUGAACGCUGGCGGCAUGCUUUACACAUGCAAGUCGGACGGCAGCACAGCGUCGCUUGCUUCUUGGGUGGCGAGUGGCGAAUGGGAGAGCAAUAUAUCGGCACGCACCGAGUAAUGGGGGACAACUAAUCGACAGAUUAGCUAAUACAGCAUAUUCUCUGAGGAGGAAAGCCGGGGACCUUCGGGCCUUGCGUUGUUCGAGCGGCCGAUAUCUGAUUAGCUAGUUGGUGGGGUAAAGGCUUACCAAGGCGACGAUCAGUAGCUGGUCUGAGAGGAUGAACCGCCACACUGGGACUGAGACACGGCCCAGACUCCUACGGGAGGCAGCAGUGGGGAAUUUUGGACAAAGGGCGCAAGCCUGAUCCAGCCAUGCCGCGUGUCUGAAGAAGGCCUUCGGGUUGUAAAGGACUUUUGUCAGGGAAGAAAAGACUGUUGCUAAUACCGACAGCUGAUGACGGUACCGGAAGAAUAAGCACCGGCUAACUACGUG
rnacentral:rRNA from 1 species